AUACAAGUAGUAGGAAGGAAACUGGACGACCCUUCGGGAGGCUUGAACAGGUGCUGCAUGGCUGUCGUCAGCUCGUGUCGUGAGAUGUUCGGUUAAGUCCGCUAACGAGCGCAACCCUCGCUGUGUGUUACAAGUGUCACACGGAACUGCCGGUCAUAAACCGGAGGAAGGUGGGGAUGACGUCAAGUCAGCAUGGCCUUUAUAUCCUGGGCUACACACACGCUACAAUGGGAAGGGACAAUAGGUUGCGAAGCCGCGAGGCGGAGCCAAUCCAGCAAAACUUCCCUCAGUUCAGAUUGCAGGCUGCAACUCGCCUGCAUGAAGUUGGAGUUGCUAGUAAACGCAGGUCAGCCAUACUGCGUUGAAUACGUUCCCGGGGCUU
rnacentral:rRNA from 1 species